GACGGUACUUGAUGAAUAAGCCACGGCUAAUUCCGUGCCAGCAGCCGCGGUAAUACGGGAGUGGCAAGCGUUAUCCGGAAUUAUUGGGCGUAAAGCGUCCGCAGGCGGCCCUUCAAGUCUGCUGUUAAAAAGUGGAGCUUAACUCCAUCAUGGCAGUGGAAACUGUUGGGCUUGAGUGUGGUAGGGGCAGAGGGAAUUCCCGGUGUAGCGGUGAAAUGCGUAGAUAUCGGGAAGAACACCAGUGGCGAAGGCGCUCUGCUGGGCCAUCACUGACGCUCAUGGACGAAAGCCAGGGGAGCGAAAGGGAUUAGAUACCCCUGUAGUCCUGGCCGUAAACGAUGAACACUAGGUGUCGGGGGAAUCGACCCCCUCGGUGUCGUAGCCAACGCGUUAAGUGUUCCGCCUGGGGAGUACGCACGCAAGUGUGAAACUCAAAGGAAUUGACGGGGGCCCGCACAAGCGGUGGAGUAUGUGGUUUAAUUCGAUGCAACGCGAAGAACCUUACCAGGGUUUGACAUCCUGCGAAUCUCUUGGAAACAGGAGAGUGCCUUCGGGAACGCAGUGACAGGUGGUGCAUGGCUGUCGUCAGCUCGUGUCGUGAGAUGUUGGGUUAAGUCCCGCAACGAGCGCAACCCACGUCUUUAGUUGCCAGCAUUUAGUUGGGCACUCUAGAGAGACUGCCGGUGAUAAACCGGAGGAAGGUGUGGAUGACGUCAAGUCAUCAUGCCCCUUACAUCCUGGGCUACACACGUACUACAAUGCUACGGACAAAGGGCAGCAAGUUCGCGAGGACAAGCAAAUCCCAUAAACCGUGGCUCAGUUCAGAUCGUAGGCUGCAACUCGCCUACGUGAAGGCGGAAUCGCUAGUAAUCGCAGGUCAGCAUACUGCGGUGAAUACGUUCCCGGGCCUUGUACACACCGCCCGUCACACCAUGGAAGUUGGCCACGCCCGAAGCCGUUACUCCAACCCUUGUGGAGGAGGACGU
rnacentral:rRNA from 1 species